rnacentral:rRNA from 1 species
UACGUAGGGUGCAAGCGUUAAUCGGAAUUACUGGGCGUAAAGCGUGCGCAGGCGGCUAUGCAAGUCAGAUGUGAAAUCCCCGGGCUUAACCUGGGAACUGCAUUUGUGACUGCAUCGCUGGAGUGCGGCAGAGGGGGAUGGAAUUCCGCGUGUAGCAGUGAAAUGCGUAGAUAUGCGGAGGAACACCGAUGGCGAAGGCAAUCCCCUGGGCCUGCACUGACGCUCAUGCACGAAAGCGUGGGGAGCAAACAGG